CUGAAUUACGAGAAUAAAGUACAUGAAGGAAAUCUGCCCAAAAAGGCAUACAUACACAUACGUACAACAUACGUAGAGUGAGCCGACAAGGCUGCUAUAGACAACUAUACAUCUCAAAACUGGAAGCCGGCAAGGCCACACACUAUCUAACUAGACAUAUUGUCUACAAACCUCUAAUAGAAACAUAACUGUACAAAGACGGGACUGAGCCAAAAUCAAAAGCAGCUCUAGAUCAAGUGGAGCAUGCCAACUCUCGCUGAUAAGGGAUCCUAAGAAGAGGGACCGUCAACUUUAUAACCUGCACAUGCGGGCAUGAAACGCAGGCCCUGUGAAUAGGGCAUCAGUAUGAAAAAUGUACUGAGUAUGUAAGGUAUGAAAAUUAGUACGUAAAAGACAUAGAUGAAACAUGGAAUAUAGAAACACGUCUUUAAAACUAAAUAACUUUGUAAAUUCUAAAACAUUUAUAAUGUCAUCACGUGCGUAUAAAUGUCGUGUCAUGCAUAGGUAUGGGUGUACAUUAUAUCAUAGAGCCACUGAGGGCAUCCCAUCAUAUCGUCUCAGCCACUGUGGGCAACAUUAUCAACAUAUACCAGCUGAUCAGGUGGUGGUGCGUAUAUAACGCCGUAACCUUUUCACAUAUCCCAUAUACAUAUAUUUACAUAUAUAUGCGUAUAUAACUCCAUCUGGUCAUGGGUCAAUGCACAUGCAUAAUUGGGUGAAAUGCAUGAAAAAUACAUAAAAAUCUCAAUAUUCCUUCCGGGAAAAACUUUUUUUCAACUGCAUAUUAUUCUGAGACCCAUGAACAGAAGAUAAUAAUAAUUCUCAUGGGGAAUCAAGAAUAUAGACACCCUUAAUAUCUCUAUGAAUAGAGCAAUUUAUGAAAAAUGUGUGUUUGCUCGUUUCUUUAGUAUAAUUUGGACCAAGACAAAAGAAAGAAGGGAUGGCCUUAACAUACCUGGAGUAGGAAAACUCCGUAUAAUAUUCUUGGCGAAGAUUGCACCGUACUCUUCUAGAACCGUAAAAUUCUACGUUGCUACUAUUCCAACAAAUUCUCGUUGGAAAAUUUGCUUCUGUUUCUAACAUUUUUUUAAGAAGAUAUAUAUAUCAAAGUGAGUUAUUUAGCUUCUAUUUGUAAUAUUUCUUGUGGACCAAAGACAGAACGUUUUUGAAGGAAUGAUUCAUGGAUAAUUCUUAUAAGCUCGUUAUGGGUUCUGCAGUAGCCUUUGGUUCAAAUGAUUGGGAUGAUUUCAUGCAAGAAAAUGGAGAAUUUACUCCAACUUUAAUAGUGCACAAUGAACUUCAAGCUGAAAACCAACCAAGUAUUGAAAGUGAAAAUG
rnacentral:lncRNA from 1 species